rnacentral:lncRNA from 1 species
AUCCAGGUUGUGUGAGAGGAAGAAGUCAUUCAAAAUAAAGGUUUUGUUUGAGAGAGAUCUUGCAUUGAUCAACGCCAUUGAUAUUGGAGCACAGCCAGAAAAUGAAGUCGAUAAAUCGGCAGUUUUAUGCAGCUUACCGCUACCCAAGAGACGUAGGUUUUGUAGGUUGACACCGCGUCGGCGGUUGCCGCUUCGAGUGAACAUUCCGUGAAUGCCGCCGCACCAAACCAGUGAAAGACGGGACGACUAGCACCAGAUGCGAGCAGCUCGCUUGGGAGUGAAAAUCGCCAUCAUCCAACCCCGGUCUUCGCCGAAAUCCGUGUGAAAGCGGCCGGCUGACGUCAGUCCCAUAACAACCAGUGAGAUGCAACAGGCCAAGGCCUUCAGCAUUCAGAAAUCCCUGUUUCAGACUGAAGGGGAUCGAGCCAUCCAGGGCCAGCUGGCGUGCUCUAACGCUCAUUUGCAAUGCCAAGAAGUGGCAUGGGGCAUUUCCUUAGUGACAAGACUGGACCACCGUGGCUAAUCACUAGACAGCUUGGAUAAAAAUUGGAGCGCUAUUUGCAGGAAAGGAAAAAAAAAACAGCACCCCAGACUGAAGAGCCGCAUGUCAUCCUCGCUUGAGCUUCAUCCUACAUUUUAUUUAAAAAGUCAAAUAUGUAGUCAAAUGUGGUUUAAGUGUAAAGUAAAUGACAUGGACACACAUUUUAUUUAUUUAUUUUUUAUAAUUUACAUUUUUGCAAAAGCAAAAACAUUCUGUCAUCAUUUACUUAACCUUAUAUCAUUCUAAAUCUACAUCACUUCUUUCUUCCAAGAAGCAUAUGAAAGUGGUUUGGUAUUUGACACCAUUGACUUUAAUUGUAAAUAAAUACAGUUCAAGUCAG